CAGGGACGCGGCUGGGCCGGUCGGUUUCCAGGAAGUGACGUCAGGCGGCCGCGGAGAUGGAGGAUUUGGAGGACUUGGGCGAGGAGCGGCGUUACGGCUUGGCUACCUCCAGGGCCAAGAUGGGUCGCCGAGCUCAACAGGAGUCAGCUCAGGCCGAGAAUCACCUCAAUGGCAAGAAUUCCUCUUUGACUCUGACUGAAGAGACUUCCCCUCCCCAAUUUCCUCGCUGCCGAGAAGGAGGCUGGGCAGACGAUUCCGUGAAGGCUUCAAAAUUUAGGAGGAAAGCUGCUGAAGAAAUAGAAGAUUUUCGCCUCAGACAGCAGAGCCCGAAUGGAUCAGAUUGCGGAGGAGAUAUUCCUAUCAUUCCGGAUCUGGAGGAAGUACAAGAAGAAGACUUUGUUUUGCAGGUCGCAGCCCCUCCCAGCAUCCAGGUAAAGCGGGUGAUGACAUACCGAGACCUAGACAAUGACCUCAUGAAGUACUCAGCCAUUCAGACAUUGGAUGGGGAGAUCGACCUGAAACUCCUCACCAAAGUGCUUGCGCCAGAGCACGAAGUCCGGGAGGAUGACGUCGGCUGGGACUGGGACCAUCUGUUCACUGAUGUGUCCUCAGAGGUCCUCACUGAGUGGGACCCACUGCAAACAGAGAAGGAGGACCCUGCGGGGCAACCCAGGCACACCUGAGCCCAUCACCCACUCUCUAGACAUGAAAAAAUGCAAUGAGCUUAAAGCUAAAGAAGCUUUCUCUUCUUGGAAAAGUUUAUUGCCAAGUGAAGGAGAACAGUUUUUAAGUCAGCUGAUAGGAACUCGAAACUCGCAGUAGAGGAGCAUGUGGGAGAGUUUGCUUCAGGAGGAGGAGGAGUGGGCACUCCUACUGGAAGCUGUCCACUUCUCGGGAGGUUUCAAAGAGUUGCCUGCUAGGGUUCUGGGGUGGGGCCUCCCCUCCUGUGGUGCCCUGGGCCCUCUGUUUGCGACCUUAGUGACGCUGCACUGCCACCUGCAUCACAGGCUUCCAGGCAGCUGCAGCGGAGGGAGCAGGAGGCGGGAGGGAGAA